CAUCACUGCGCAUGUGCAGCAUCGUAGUUUCUAAAGGUGGCGGGGGAGCUGUUGUGGUGCAGUGGUUCUGUCCUUACUUGUGGACUAGGAGACCUCAUUUGCUCCAGAUGUAUUUAACCAAGCUGUUCAGAAAACUUCGGAAGCAGGUGGGAUUUGAACCCAGUCCUCCAGAGGUGAGGAAAAAAAAUCGGUCAUCUUUGAUGAACACAUUUGCUUAUUUCUGAGAUAACAAGGUGUGGAGCUGGAUGAACACAGCAGGUCAAGCAGUAUCAGAGGAGCAGGAAAGCUGACGUUUCAGGAUGGAUGACCAGGAGACUCUCCCACUCUUACUGUUUGCCAUUAGGUGGCUUUGGAAGGAUUUACAGGCUGAUAUCAACUUGUUUGUGGCCACAUUACAAAUAUACCUUCCAUACCUAGCAUGGGACUCGAACCUACAGCUUCUGGCCCAGAAGUACGGAUGCUACUACGACAUCACAAGACCUCCUACAUGAAAUCCAUUUUUUGAUAAACAUUGAAUCAAACCUGAAAUUCACUGCUUAUCAGACUGCAAUCUGAUUUUCUCUUUAAUUGCAAUUUUACUUAGGGAACCACUGGUACAAAUUAUGUGUUUAGAUUUAUUGCUAUUAAUAGCAACUAACUUGAGUAAGUCAGAAGUGACAGUUUGUGGGCAAGGCAGCAAAACUCCAAGUGCCUUUAAUCCAUGGUUGUUAGCAUGUCUCCAAAGGUGUCUAGCCAGAAAAUGCCACCUCCAACUGAUACAUAAUGUGCUCCAAAUAUAAUAAUUCAGGUACCUACAUUGCAUUGCAGCAUAACCAAGUUAUAUAACACAUUUGUUGCCCAGCCAACAAUGUGCAUAGAAUUCCCAUUGCCAUAUGAUUUACAAAGCUGAAGAUCAUCAGUUGGAAUGUGGGAUUAGGCUAGAUGGUUAUAUGUUGGCUGACUUUGGUAACCCAUCCUGAUGUUAAUUUCCAGACUUUCCCAUCCCAUAUGUCCUGGAACCUGCCUCCUCUGCCCUGAAAAACCCACUCAAAGUGCCUGACUGAAUUAGCAUGAUAUGAGAAGUGAAGGGGGAUGCCAUUCUCCAUCCUUUCAGACUGAAAUGGAGAUGAUUGGAGUUGAAUAUAUUCCCUCAAUGGAAAUGACAUAGAUGAGUGAGAAUGGCUUUUGGUGGGCAUGGAAAGGCAAGAAAAUGGGUGUGCAGAUAGAAAUAUGAAUUAGAGAAAAGAAAAUGUUUGAGCUGUUUCUUUUAAAAAAAAGAGACAGUAGAAGAAGAUAAUAUAGUGGGCAAGAAAUCCAUGUGGAUGGAGAAGUGGAAAUGAUUAGAAAUGCUAUUGUUAGUGAUUAAAAUCUUGGAGGUGGCAAGGCUUUCAUGGUAAUGAAGUUGAAAGGAUCAACACAGCUAGCAGCUCAACCCAAAUUCUAUCCUAACCUGAAGCACACAAAAGCAAAGACUAGCUAGCGUUGGCUGGAAAUUUAUGAGGGCCCAGAUUUGCUAACCCACAAUAGAUUGGUGAUCAUACAUUGAGAUCUCCUGGACCAGCUAGUCACUGUCUGCAACAACUAAAGAUUUAGCACAUCUCUUUUGAAAAGCAGCCUCUGCUUGUUGAACCCAAUUUUUGUAAAUGUUCAUCCUAUAUAUGGGACUAGAAAUUUGCUUGCUAAGUUUAAUAAAUUAGUGGGAUAUUUA